rnacentral:rRNA from 1 species
CGCGUAGGCGGUUAUUAAAGUUAGAUGUGAAAUACUUGGGCUUAACCUGAGGGCUGCAUCUAAAACUAAGUAACUAGAGUUCAGUAGAGGAAAGUGGAAUUCUCGGUGUAGCAGUGAAAUGCGUAGAUAUCGGGAGGAACACCAGUGGCGAAGGCGGCUUUCUGGACUGAAACUGACGCUAAAGUGCGAAGGCGUGGGUAGCAAACA